UAUCACAAGGAGCUGGAACCUGCCCACCAUUCUCCUGGGAAUAGACCACCUCUCCUAAGGGGCUGCCAUCUAAGUGAAAACCAAACUCUAUCAGAAACAGAUUUUUAAGAUUCUGAUUACAAGACCUCCACCUGCCAACUGAUGAAUCCUACCCUCUGGGGAAGAGACUCUGCAAUCUCUACCUUUUAAAGGACUCCCAAGUGAUCUUGAUGCUAGAUUGCAGUGGACCCAUCUGAGCUCCAAGACUUGCAGAACUGAGAUAAAUCCUCUGGGGAACCCCCUUGGAAAGUUGGGGAGCUAGACAUGCAAAGCAACACUGUCCCUCCUCUGGGAGAAGCUAGGAGCUUCGAGGUCUCUUUCUGAUCCUAUGGCAUUGACUCAGGCUGGAGUCCCUGAGAUUUGUAAUCCUAAACUGGAGCCAGAGACUGUUUUCCUAUCAGCAAAACAGAGGAAACCAUAUUUGCAAAUUCUUCAAGAUCUCCCAAGCCAAUCUGUUACAAAAAUGAAAACUAUUAUUAUGACAA